UGGGGAAUAUUGGACAAUGGGCGAAAGCCUGAUCCAGCCAUGCCGCGUGUGUGAAGAAGGUCUUCGGAUUGUAAAGCACUUUAAGUUGGGAGGAAGGGCAGUAACCUAAUACGUUGCUGUCUUGACGUUACCGACAGAAUAAGCACCGGCUAACUCUGUGCCAGCAGCCGCGGUAAUACAGAGGGUGCAAGCGUUAAUCGGAAUUACUGGGCGUAAAGCGCGCGUAGGUGGUUUGUUAAGUUGGAUGUGAAAUCCCCGGGCUCAACCUGGGAACUGCAUUCAAAACUGACAAGCUAGAGUAUGGUAGAGGGUGGUGGAAUUUCCUGUGUAGCGGUGAAAUGCGUAGAUAUAGGAAGGAACACCAGUGGCGAAGGCGACCACCUGGACUGAUACUGACACUGAGGUGCGAAAGCGUGGGGAGCAAACAGGAUUAGAUACCCAGGUAGUCCCUGAGCGGGCUGGCAAGGCGCAU
rnacentral:rRNA from 1 species